rnacentral:rRNA from 1 species
ACUCGGAAACGGCGGCGGAUACUAUUCGGCUCGAGGGUUGGAGGGGGGACUGGAAUUCUCGGUGUAGCAGUGAAAUGCGUAGAUAUCGAGAGGAACACCAGUGGCGAAGGCGAGUCCCUGGACAACUCCUGACGCUGAGGCACGAAAGCUAGGGGAGCAAACAGGAUUAGAUACCCUGGUAGUCCUAGCCGUAAACGGUGCACGUUUGCUGUAAGCGGAAUCGACCCCGCUUGUGGCGAAGCUAACGCGUUAAACGUGCCGCCUGGGAAGUACGGUCGCAAGAUUAAAACUCAAAGAAAUUGACGGGGGCCUGCACAAGCGGUGGAGUAUGUGGCUCAAUUCGAUGCAACGCGAAGAACCUUACCUGGCCUUGACAUGUAGGUAGUAGAAGGGUGAAAGCCCGACGAGGUAGCAAUACCAGCCUACACAGGUGCUG